CAACCGCCCUCGUCUCCUCACGCCAAUGCACACCCUAGCCGUCGCCAACCUGCAGCUCCAUCCCGGUGCUUGCCCAGACGGGUCGCCCCGUAAGGAGAGAACGUGACCAGGCAGGAGACGACGCUUCAUGUAUCCAUCUCCGCCUCAAUCGACCGUGCCAAUUAACAGGCUCCCAAGGAGGAGAUCCAAUCCUGCGGGCGGGUGUCCCGUCGCCCAUCCAUCGAUCCGAAUCUGCAUGUGACCAGUCUCAUCGGGCUCUUCUCUUUUUUAGGAAUGACUCAUGGGUUUCUCACCAUCCCUUCCACUUGGGGAUUUCAAUCGAAUGGUGAAAUGGAGUUACCAAUCAACAACUAGCUGAAUCAGCUCCCGGCCUACCCGGGCUUAUCUCCACCGGUGCAGGUAAGCAUUGCUGCUGGCACUCGAGCAAGACGACGCCGACUAUGACCUUUGUCCCCAUGAGUCAACAGGUUGGUGAACACCACCGCUGGGAGCACCUCGCCAGGAACGUGCGUACCUCCCGUGUCUCCUUCAACCCGCCAUGAAUUUCUUGGUUUCACUCGCUAGCUGAUCGACUGACUGACACACGUACACUCAUGUCUUUCAGCCUUUCCUCACGCUCUUCGGUAAUUAAGUUCAUCCAUGAUCCGAUCCACAUCAAGCGUGGCAAUCAAUCAUCUAGUAGUGUUUUUCUUUGGUCGGUUCCAUCCAUAAAUUAGUUCUAAGUAUCUUUUUUUCUGAUUUUUUUUCUAGAAUCCUAGGCCAUCAAGCGUGGCAGUAAUGCUUUGUUCUUGCAAAUAAUUUUUUAAAAUAUUUUGAUUGUACUUUGUUUGUGAUGAACAUGUAGCUUCUGAUUCUUUGCUAAAAACUACCAAAUGUGCAAUCUGUUAUUAUUUUAUAGCCAUGUGAAUAUGGAUUUAUCCUAUUGUAUAUAUCAUUUUUUGUUGUUAUAAUUUUUAGGAGACAACUCGGUCUAUUGUCCCUGCAAAGAAUGAGAAGAAAGAAUCCUCAAACACUGGCAAGCGAGAAACUAGGAAAUCUAUAAAAAGGACUGGUGAGGAUCCAGUUGGAGUGAGGGAUCUGCUUGUCAGGUCAUGAGGAACAUGCUUGCAAAUGAGGGUGUCCGUUCAUUCUACAAGGGUUUGUCCGCUGGUUUGCUAAGGCAAGCAACGCACAUAGACUGCUCAUCUUGGAUCCUUCAGCUAUGGAAUGUUUGCCACCAGAGGGUGUGAUAGAUUUGUGAAUGUGUGGGAUGACAUUAACAAGAGAAUACUAUAUCAGUACUCAAAAGUGCGCAUCAAGCAUUGUUGCACUGUCAUUCGGUAAGGAUGGCCAUCUGCUUGCUGUGGCAUCCAACUACACUUAUGAAGAGUGAGAAAAAACGCACUUUGUCUGACAAAUCUCUGUUUACGCAAUAUUAACCGCUCAUGAUUCUCCUCACACUUGUCCUCUUUGUCGUCUUGAGUUUUAUUUGCUGUGACUUAGCAAAAGUGAAUUCCACUGAUGGGACUAACGAUACCUCAAUAUGUUUUGUCAAUACCUUAAGGAGUCUAUUGUCCUAUUUUUCUUUCAAGGUUCGUUGUAGACUUAAGGUACACAUUAUGAAUCGUGCGUUGCCUUC